rnacentral:rRNA from 1 species
CAAUAGCGUAUAUUAAAGUUGUUGCGGUUAAAAAGCUCGUAGUUGGAUUUCUGCUGAGAACGACCGGUCCGCCCUCUGGGUGUGUAUCUGGCUCUUUCUUGGCAUCUUCUUGGUGAACGUUGCUGCACUUGACUGUGUGGAGCGCUACCCAGGACUUUUACUUUGAGGAAAUUAGAGUGUUUCAAGCAGGCAUACGCCUUGAAUACAUUAGCAUGGAAUAAUAAGAUAGGACCUCGGUUCUAUUUUGUUGGUUUCUAGAGCUGAGGUAAUGAUUAAUAGGGAUAGUUGGGGGCAUUCGUAUUUAACUGUCAGAGGUGAAAUUCUUGAAUUUGUUAAAGACGGACUACUGCGAAAGCAUUUGCCAAGGAUGUUUUCAUUGA